UACGGAGGGUGCGAGCGUUGUCCGGAAUCACUGGGCGUAAAGGGCGCGUAGGCGGCAGGCCAAGCGUGCGGUGAAAGUCCGGGGCUCAACCCCGGAUCUGCCGUGCGGACUGGUUUGCUAGAGCACUGUAGAGGCGAGUGGAAUUCCGGGUGUAGCGGUGGAAUGCGUAGAGAUCCGGAAGAACACCGGUGGCGAAGGCGGCUCGCUGGCCCGUAACUGACGCUGAGGCACGAAAGCGUGGGGAGCAAACAGG
rnacentral:rRNA from 1 species